GUCACUAUAGCUCAGUGGUUGAGCAUCCGAUUGCAAAGUUGCUGUUAUCGGGCGGUCCCGUGUUCGAUCCACGGUAGGGACU